rnacentral:rRNA from 1 species
AACGAACGCUGGCGGCGCGCCUAACACAUGCAAGUCGAACGAGAAGGCGUAGCAAUACGCUUGUAAAGUGGCGAACGGGUGAGGAAUACGUGGGUAACCUACCCUCGAGUGGGGAAUAACCAACCGAAAGGUUGGCUAAUGCCGCGUACGCUUCCAUCUCUUCGGAGGUGGAAGGAAAGCUGUACCGUGGGUACAGCGCUCAAGGAUGGGCUCACGUCCUAUCAGCUUGUUGGUAGGGUAACGGCCACCAAGGCAACGACGGGUAGCUGGUCUGAGAGGACGAUCAGCCACACUGGCACUGCGACACGGGCCAGACUCCUACGGGAGGCAGCAGUGAGGAAUAUUGCGCAAAUGGGCGAAAGCCUGACGCAGCGACGCCGCGU